rnacentral:rRNA from 1 species
CCUACGGGAGGCAGCAGUGGGGAAUAUUGGGCAAUGGGCGCAAGCCUGACCCAGCAACGCCGCGUGAAGGAAGAAGGUUUUCGGGUUGUAAACUUCUUUUCUCAGGGACGAAGAAAGUGACGGUACCCGAGGAAUAAGCCACGGCUAACUACGUGCCAGCAGCCGCGGUAAUACGUAGGUGGCAAGCGUUAUCCGGAUUUAUUGGGUGUAAAGGGCGUGUAGGCGGGUUCGCAAGUCAGAGGUGAAAACUCAGGGCUCAACCCUGAGCCUGCAUUUGAAACUGUGUUUCUUGAGUGCAGGAGAGGCAAUCGGAAUUCCGGGUGUAGCGGUGAAAUGCGUAGAUAUACGGAGGAACACCAGUGGCGAAGGCGGAUUGCUGGACAGUAACUGACGCUGAGGCGCGAAAGCGUGGGGAGCAAACAGGAUUAGAUACCCGGGUAGUC